UUCAGGGCGCACCUGGGAGCAGAAGGAAAGCAACCGCGCUGCAAAACAAUUAUGCCUGAGAAAGCCGCGUCUGCCAUCUGGUGGCAGCAUUAGAAACAGCUGCAGGAAGACCUGUCCUUGUCUUUUCUCUCCCACCUGUGGGUGGAAUGGUUUCGUCAUCACUCUGAGAUAGUGACUCACCCUGGACACUGCUCGCUCUGGCUGGGACUGAGACCUGAGGAUUUCCUUUCCACAUCGGUGUUGGAGAUCCCUGUUGCAGGAAGCAUGUUGCUAUAGACUGAAUGUUCGUGUCAUGUGUUGAAACUUAAUCCCCAGUGUGAUGGUACUGGGGGAUGGGGACGUGGGAGGUGACUCCACCCUCAUGAAUGGAAUUGGUACCCUUAUAAAAGAUGUCCCAGAGAGCUCCUGUGCCCCUUCUGCCAUGUGAGAACAUACCCAGCAGACGGCUGUGAGGCAGGAAGUGGGCCCUCACUAGUUACCAAAUCUGCUGGCACCUUGAUCUUCAACUUCCCAGCCUCCAGAACUAUAAGAAAUAAAUUUCUAUUGUUUAUAAGCUA
rnacentral:lncRNA from 1 species